CCCCUCUCAGGGUCGCACCUGGAGAGUUUCCAGUACUCUUCCAGUCUCGGCUAUGGGAGGGAGAGUCAAGUGGAGGCCUAUCCAUUCCAUUCCUAGCUCAAUCAGUGGCUAGCAAGAGGAAGGCAAACUGCUGCAAGU